AAGGUUGACAGAGUUUAACCGAAAAACUUCAAUUAGAAGAGGUACCGAAAUGAAAAGAAAGCAAGGAAAGAGGAAACAACCCGCCUUUACGUUUUAUCAGAAGAAAAACCAUCAUCUCCAUCUUCUGAAUACUGAUAAUCCCAACUACCAACCGAGCAGUUGAAGCACAGAGUGGAAGAGAAACCGCUGAAGAGUGAAGCGGCAGUGUCUCUCUCUACCUCGUCCCUGAAGACAUGACACAAGGGACUCUCCCAUCGUUGCCUGGAAGGAACAAACCCAGUUAUCAUCAACCAGCGUGGGUGAAACAAGAUUUAAGGAGCAUUUCUAAAUGCAGCCGAGGAAGCAAGAUCAACUGUGUCACCAUAUUUUGGGCUCUGCAAACCACAUAAAGGAAACCCGUGUGCCAAGCUCAUUUUAAAACAGAACAUUCUACUUGAAGUUUUUCGGUACUUUGCAAGAGGCUGUUAAAGAGUCAAGGAGCAAAAGCACCAUCAUCGUAUACUGGAAGACCCCCUUUUUAAGGGGCUUCUAAACCCAGAGCGACAGACUGAAGAGGGGAAAAAAUCAAGCAGGAUCAAGACAUGAGGAUGCUCCGGCCUCGAAUCUUCCUUUCCCUUCUUUUAGGACCAUGUGGCAAAGCCCUCAGGAAAACUGCAAGAUUUUAAAAGAUGCUGAAGAAAUUGAAAGAAAUCCAAAAUGUGGAUGGUCCUGGUGGGACUGCUUAUUAGAGGCCGGGAUCCAAAGAAAACUCAAAUUAAGCAACUGAGUGUGCUAAAGAAAAUGGCCAGACCUGCUUUCCUGAACGCUGCCAUCUGUUUUCACUGAGUUUCACUGGAGUUAUCACAGGAACAGAAGGCAAAGUUGGCAACAAAUUUGUAAUCAACAACUAAAUGUUCCUACCUGAAAUUUAGGGCAGGGUCAGCUCCAAAAAGCACAACGUCAACUGCAACAACACGGUACUUACAGUCAGUGGUGUAAAGUAUAGAAACUGCUGUAAGAUAUGAAAUAUGAGCACCUAAGGGACCAAUUGGUUAAAGUCUUUUGUAGGAUAUCUGCAGAGUCUUCAGACCCCACUGGGAGCGUUUAAAGACAGUCAGUUUCAUGACCAAAUCCCAUAAAGCAGCAUAUCCUUUAUCUGGCUGGUUCAGAGAAGCAGGUCAACAAGCAUUCUGCAAAACAAUAUGGACCAGUGGA